rnacentral:lncRNA from 1 species
UUAUGAAAAAAAGUGUACGAACUCGUUAGAUAGGGUAAACUCUAUAGUGGACAUUACUUUAAUUGAACAGGGCUUAGAAGUCUCAUACUGGAAGGGGUUGAGAAAUAUUUGAUCACUCUAAUACCAAACAAGGUAUUAAGGUGGUAGUAUAUUUGACACCCAUUACUAGACAUGGUAUAAAGAUGACCAGUUAUUUAAUAGAUUGGAUAUUGAGUUCAAGUGUAGGAAGAACCGCUAUGGACCCUCGGAGAUACAGAGGUAAGCAAGUGAAAAUGUAAAGUUCGAUUAUUGUUAUUUCUUAAAAUGUCUAAUGAAUUCCUAUCUUGAUUAUUGUCUUCAGAAGUCGUAUUUAAGAACCUAGAAGAUGACUAUGAACUACAUUUUUAAAAUUAAAUAAAUUUACCAAAAAAAAAAAAAUGGCUCCGUUGGUUGUUUUGUGAUUUUUACUAACAUUUAGUUUUCCAUA